CCUACGGGAGGCAGCAGUGGGGAAUAUUGCACAAUGGGGGAAACCCUGAUGCAGCGACGCCGCGUGAGUGAAGAAGUAUUUCGGUAUGUAAAGCUCUAUCAGCAGGGAAGAAGAAAGACGGUACCUGACCAAGAAGCCCCGGCUAACUACGUGCCAGCAGCCGCGGGAAUACGUAGGGGGCAAGCGUUAUCCGGAUUUACUGGGUGUAAAGGGAGCGUAGACGGCUGUGCAAGUCUGAAGUGAAAGCCUAGGGCUCAACCCUGGGACUGCAUUGGAAACUGUGGAGCUAGAGUGCUGGAGAGGUAAGUGGAAUUCCUAGUGUAGCGGUGAAAUGCGUAGAUAUUAGGAGGAACACCAGUGGCGAAGGCGGCUUACUGGACAGUAACUGACGUUGAGGCUCGAAAGCGUGGGGAGCAAACAGGAUUAGAUACCCGGGUAGUC
rnacentral:rRNA from 1 species